rnacentral:lncRNA from 1 species
UUGGAUUGAAGGAAAAAAAAGAAUCGGAGAGCCAAUAGGCUGCCACGUGGAAUGUAGCCGUUGGCGGCUACUGUAUUGCGUCGUUUGAAAUUUUUUUUAACGUUGGCGCGUGCAAUGCACACGCCAACAGUAAAAAAAAUUUCAAACGCUGGAGGGCUGACGCCAGCCUGGCAUCAGCCAUGACGUCACCGCCCUCGGGCGCUUGCUCGGGCCGAACUCCACCUCGGGCCAGCCCAGUCUCGUGGCCCCCACCUCUUGCCCGGGCUACCUUCUGCUUCUGGAAACCCAUUUUUUUCCCAAACCCCCUAGCCCGAGUCCACCUCUUGCUGCUGGACUU